rnacentral:rRNA from 1 species
UACGUAGGGUGCGAGCGUUAAUCGGAAUUACUGGGCGUAAAGCGUGCGCAGGCGGUUUUGUAAGCCGGAUGUGAAAUCCCCGGGCUUAACCUGGGAAUGGCAUUCGGGACUGCAAGGCUGGAGUGCGGCAGAGGAGACUGGAAUUCCUGGUGUAGCAGUGAAAUGCGCAGAUAUCAGGAGGAACACCGAUGGCGAAGGCAGGUCUCUGGGCUGACACUGACGCUCAUGCACGAAAGCGUGGGGAGCAAACAGG